rnacentral:rRNA from 1 species
CCUACGGGAGGCAGCAGUGGGGAAUAUUGGGCAAUGGGCGAAAGCCUGACCCAGCAACGCCGCGUGAAGGAAGAAGGCUUUCGGGUUGUAAACUUCUUUUGACAGGGAAGAGCAGAAGACGGUACCUGUCGAAUAAGCCACGGCUAACUACGUGCCAGCAGCCGCGGUAAUACGUAGGUGGCAAGCGUUGUCCGGAUUUACUGGGUGGAAAGGGCGUGUAGCCGGGCUGACAAGUCAGAUGUGAAAUCCGGGGGCUCAACCCCCGAACUGCAUUUGAAACUGUUGGUCUUGAGUAUCGGAGAGGCAGGCGGAAUUCCUAGUGUAGCGGUGAAAUGCGUAGAUAUUAGGAGGAACACCAGUGGCGAAGGCGGCCUGCUGGACGACAACUGACGGUGAGGCGCGAAAGCGUGGGGAGCAAACAGGAUUAUAUACCCUAGUAGUC